GGAAGUAAAAGUCGUAUCAAGGUCUCCGUAGGUGAACCUGCGGAGGGAUCAUUACAGAGUUCAUGCCCUACCGGGUAGAUCUCCCACCCUAUGUUAUUAUUACUUUGUUGCUUUGGCGGGCCGUUAGGCUCCGGCCCGACUACCGGCCCCGGCUGGUAAGCGCCCGCCAGAGGACCCAAAACCCUGAAUAUUAGUGUCGUCUGAGUACUAUAUAAUAGUUAAAACUUUCAACAACGGAUCUCUUGGUUCUG
rnacentral:misc_RNA from 1 species